rnacentral:rRNA from 1 species
AGUCGAACGCGAAAGCUCCCUUCGGGGAGCAAGUAGAGUGGCGCACGGGUGAGUAACACGUAGGUAAUCUACCUUUGGAUGGGGAAUAACAACCGGAAACGGUUGCUAAUACCGCAUAAUGCAGCGGCACCUAAUGGUGACAGUUGUUAAAGCGGGGGAUCGCAAGACCUCGCGUCUGAAGAGGAGCCUGCGGCAGAUUAGCUAGUUGGUAAGGUAACGGCUUACCAAGGCGAUGAUCUGUAGCCGGCCUGAGAGGGCGGUCGGCCACACUGACACUGACAUACGGGUCAGACUCCUACGGGAGGCAGCAGUCGGGAAUUUUGGGCAAUGGGCGAAAGCCUGACCCAGCAACGCCGCGUGAAGGAUGAAAUCCCUCGGGAUGUAAACUUCGCAAGAACGGGAAGAAUAAGUAAGGGUUAAUAUCCCUUGCGAUGACGGUACUGUUUGUAAGCUCCGGCUAACUCCGUGCCAGCAGCCGCGGUAAUACGGGGGGAGCAAGCGUUGUUCGGAUUUACUGGGCGUAAAGGGCGCGUAGGCGGCCUCUGCAAGUCGACUGUGAAAUCUCCGGGCUUAACCCGGAAAGGUCAGCCGAUACUGCAGGGCUAGAGUGCAGAAGGGGCAACUGGAAUUCUCGGUGUAGCGGUGAAAUGCGUAGAUAUCGAGAGGAACACCUGCGGCGAAAGCGGGUUGCUGGGCUGACACUGACGCUGAGGCGCGAAAGCUAGGGGAGCGAACGGGAUUAGAUACCCCGGUAGUCCUAGCCUUAAACGAUGAAUGCUUGGUGUCUGGGGUUUUAUAGUCCCCCGGGUGCCGUCGCUAACGC